CAGCAGCCGCGGUAAAACAGAGGGUGCGAGCGUUAAUCGGAUUUACUGGGCGUAAAGCGUGCGUAGGCGGCUUUUUAAGUCGGAUGUGAAAUCCCUGAGCUUAACUUAGGAAUUGCAUUCGAUACUGGGAAGCUAGAGUAUGGGAGAGGAUGGUAGAAUUCCAGGUGUAGCGGUGAAAUGCGUAGAGAUCUGGAGGAAUACCGAUGGCGAAGGCAGCCAUCUGGCCUAAUACUGACGCUGAGGUACGAAAGCAUGGGGAGCAAACAGGAUUAGAUACCCCAGUAGUCCCUGUCUCUUAUAC
rnacentral:rRNA from 1 species